GUGCCAGCCGCCGCGGUAAUACGGAGGGUGCAAGCGUUGUCCGGAAUCACUGGGCGUAAAGGGUGCGCAGGCGGGGUAGCAAGUCGGAGGUGAAAGCCCAUGGCUCAACCAUGGAAGUGCCUUCGAAACUGUUGCUCUUGAGUCCCGGAGAGGCUGUCGGAAUUCGUGGUGUAGCGGUGAAAUGCGUAGAUAUCACGAGGAACACCAGAGGCGAAAGCGGGCAACUGGACGGGUACUGACGCUCAGGCACGAAAGCGCGGGGAGCAAACAGGAUUAGAUACCCGAGUAGUCC
rnacentral:rRNA from 1 species